UACGGAGGGGGCUAGCGUUGUUCGGAAUUACUGGGCGUAAAGGGUGCGCAGGCGGUUCUGCAAGUCAGGCGUGAAAUCCCCGGGCUUAACCUGGGAAUGGCGCUUGAAACUACGGGACUGGAGUAUGGCAGAGGGAGGUGGAAUUCCACGUGUAGCGGUGAAAUGCGUAGAGAUGUGGAGGAACACCGAUGGCGAAGGCAGCCUCCUGGGCCAAUACUGACGCUCAUGCACGAAAGCGUGGGGAGCAAACAGG
rnacentral:rRNA from 1 species